ensembl:snoRNA small nucleolar RNA SNORA53
CACACGCUCCUUAGAUCCACCUCUGGAGGGCGCUGCUCCCUGAGCCUCGCUCCUCAGCAGCUUCCUGCUGUACUGUCGGAGGUGCUUGAGUCAUUGGCGUGUUAGAGCAGUCCACCUGUCCUCCAGCCCUCCUGCAGCACUGGGCGGCCCACCGGUGCUGGCAGCCUGGAGGACGGACAUU